rnacentral:lncRNA from 1 species
GUCCAGGUGCUACUCUAGCUUUGGCUAUGAUCUACUUAAAAACCAAUAACAGAUCUAUUGCAGAUUGGCUCCGAGCCCCUGACACCAUGUAUUUGUUGGACUUUGUUGACAGAUUAUAAGAGAAAAUAGUAUCUCUCUCAGUGAAAUCGAAUUGCCGUGCUCAGAGGAUUUGAAUUUGGAAACUUUGUCCCAAGCACAUGUCUACAUAAUUGCAGGAGCCUGUUUGUCUCUGGGUUUUUGAUUUGCUGGCUCAGAAAACUUACCAGCAUUUAACUGUUUGCAUAAAUUUGCCAAAGAUUUUAUGACUUAUUUGUCUGCACCUAAUGCUUCUGUUACAGGUCCUCAUAACCUAGAAACUUGUCUGAGCGUGGUGCUGCU